UACGAGGGGGGCGAGCGUUGUUCGGAAUUAUUGGGCGUAAAGGGUGCGUAGGCGGUUUGGUAAGUCUGAUGUGAAAUCUAUGGGCUCAACUCAUAGUCUGCAUUAGAAACUGCCGGGCUUGAGUGUGGGAGAGGUGAGUGGAAUUCCGGGUGUAGCGGUGGAAUGCGUAGAGAUCCGGAAGAACACCGGUGGCGAAGGCGGUCUGCUGGGCAGUUGCUGACACUGAGGCGCGACAGCGUGGGGAGCAAACAGG
rnacentral:rRNA from 1 species